CCUACGGGGUGCUGCAGUGGGGAAUAUUGCACAAUGGGGGAAACCCUGAUGCAGCGACGCCGCGUGAGUGAAGAAGUAUUUCGGUACGUAAAGCUCUAUCAGCAGGGAAGAAAAUGACGGUACCUGACCACGAAGCCCCGGCUAACUACGUGCCAGCGGCCGCGGUACUACGUAGGGGGCAAGCGUUAUCCGGAUUUACUGGGUGUAAAGGGAGCGUAGACGGCGGCGCAAGUCUGGCGUGAAAUGCCGGGGCCCAACCCCGGAACUGCUUGGGAAACUGGGCAGCUGGAGUGCAGGAGAGGUAAGCGGAAUUCCUAGUGUAGCGGUGAAAUGCGUAGAUAUUAGGAGGAACACCAGUGGCGAAGGCGGCUUACUGGACUGUAACUGACGUUGAGGCUCGAAAGCGUGGGGAGCAAACAGGAUUAGAUACCCGGGUAGUC
rnacentral:rRNA from 1 species